UGCAUUUUGCAACGGCAGGCUGAAGUUAUCGCAGCACCGCCUCUGGGCGGGGAAGCACCCUGACCUCCAUGACGGUCCCCCCCCGCCCCGACAGCCACCCCUUACCUGCUGCUGCUGCUGCUGCUGCUGCUGCCGCCCUCUGCCGACGGCCCCGGGCCGGUGAGGUUUGCCCAUAGGAGUUCUCUUUCCAUUGCCAGAGUACUCCGUGCAGAUUGACCUGUCCCAGCACUGCCCUCUGAGAAUACUGAUCAAAAGAAGUUUAAAACAGAAGAAUAAAAUUAAUUUUAAAAAAUUAAAAAAAGAGUUGUGUGAGCCUGCUGUGGCAGGGUUCAGUCUGAGUUUGGCAAGCUAGUCUGGAAGCUGGUUUUCCCACUAUGACCCACAGCAGAAUACAGUGGAAGAGAGAUGUACAGCUUUUAUUGUGUGUUACAGAUAACCACAGUACGCUUCAUCAGUAGUCACUGUAUGGAUCUAAAGAGAUAUACAAUUAUUGUGAAUAUGCUAUAUUACUAAACUAGUAUUACCAUGAAAAUGAAAAAUCUUUACCAGACCAGAAGACUACUUAUAUCUGGCUUAUCUCAGAGGUUUGUUAAUUGUUUACAAAUAUUUUUGCUGUGUUGUAUCCUGCAAUUCUAGAACUGAUGGACAACAACACAGGCUUCAAAAGUCUUACCAAAAUUCCCAACUUGAUAUACAUGCUAUAGCUAAGGCUUAAAACAUUAAGUUCCAGACAAGUUCAAGUCUCAAAUCUCUUAAGUCUCUUAAAUAUCUCUUAAAUCUCUGGAUAGUCAAAGUGCUCUAAUAUACUUGCUCCUGAGGACAACUUCCCCCCAAAAUUAUUUUUUAGUGUAUACUUAUGAGGGCUGCACCAAAUGUAAUGCCUCCUUUUUUAUGAUGUUGGCCGCGAUAUCAGAGUUGAGUGGUGGUGGGAUGCAGUAGAGGCUGAACCUUCCCAGUAGGUAUCCUGUUACAUUUUUUUGCUAUCUGACAGAAUUGCAUCUGACAUGGAAGUGCAGAUGAAGCAAAGGUGCAUCAUUGAAUUGGUUCCCAGUGAUAUUCAUCAACACUUGGUGAGCAUUUAUGGACGCCAAACAGUGGAUGUGAGAACAGCAAGGCAGUGAGUGGUGUGUUUCAGCAGUGGUGACAGCAACAUGAAAGACAAGCCAUGUUCUGGACAGUCAUGCAGACUUCUGUGAGUGCGACAUGCAGGCUCGUGUUUAUCACCAGUGAAAAUGAAUACCUAAUGGUGGUGACGACAUUGAAAAACAAUCUUUAGUAGCUGAAAAUUUGCUCUACCAGUAGCAUUA